GACGAACGCUGGCGGCGUGCCUAAUACAUGCAAGUUGAGCGCUGAAGGUUGGUACUUGUACCAACUGGAUGAGCAGCGAACGGGUGAGUAACGCGUGGGGAAUCUGCCUUUGAGCGGGGGACAACAUUUGGAAACGAAUGCUAAUACCGCAUAAAAACUUUAAACACAAGUUUUAAGUUUGAAAGAUGCAAUUGCAUCACUCAAAGAUGAUCCCGCGUUGUAUUAGCUAGUUGGUGAGGUAAAGGCUCACCAAGGCGAUGAUACAUAGCCGACCUGAGAGGGUGAGCGGCCACAUUGGGACUGAGACACGGCCCAAACUCCUACGGGAGGCAGCAGUAGGGAAUCUUCGGCAAUGGACGAAAGUCUGACCGAGCAACGCCGCGUGAGUGAAGAAGGGUUUCGGAUCGUAAAACUCUGUUGGUAGAGAAGAACGUUGGUGAGAGUGGAAAGCUCAUCAAGUGACGGUAACUACCCAGAAAGGGACGGCUAACUACGUG
rnacentral:rRNA from 1 species